rnacentral:rRNA from 1 species
GGGGGGGGGGGGGGGGGGGCGGGGGGGGGGUGGGUGGGGCGAGGGGGCGGGGAGCUUGCUGCUCUGGCGGUGGCGGCGGACGGGUUGGUACCACGUGGCUACCCUACCUGUAAGACUUGGAUAGCUUCGGGCGACCGGAGCUACUACCGGCUAAUAUAUUUAACAUCAUGGUUCAAUAGUGAAAGACGGUUUUGCUGUCACUUAUAGAUUGAUCCGCGCUGCCUUAGCUAGUUGGUAAGGUAACGGCUUACCACGGCAACGAUGCGUAGCCGACCUGAGAGGGUGAUCGGCCACACUGGAAAUGAGACACGGUCCAGACUCCUACGGGAGGCAGCAGUAGGGAAUCUUCCGCAAUGGGCGAAAGCCUGACGGAGCAACGCCGCGUGAGUGAUGAAGGUCUUCGGAUCGUAAAACUCUGUUAUUAGGGAAGAACAAAUGUGUAAGUAACUAUGCACGUCUUGACGGUACCUAAUCAGAAAGCCACGGCUAACUACGUG